UAAGGGUUACAGCCUUAUACAUGCAGUCGACGAACUCUGGUAUUGAUUGGUGCUUGCAUCAUGAUUUACAUUUGAGUGAGUGGCGAACUGGUGAGUAACACGUGGGAAACCUGCCCAGAAGCGGGGGAUAACACCUGGAAACAGAUGCUAAUACCGCAUAACAACUUGGACCGCAUGGUCCGAGCUUGAAAGAUGGCUUCGGCUAUCACUUUUGGAUGGUCCCGCGGCGUAUUAGCUAGAUGGUGGGGUAACGGCUCACCAUGGCAAUGAUACGUAGCCGACCUGAGAGGGUAAUCGGCCACAUUGGGACUGAGACACGGCCCAAACUCCUACGGGAGGCAGCAGUAGGGAAUCUUCCACAAUGGACGAAAGUCUGAUGGAGCAACGCCGCGUGAGUGAAGAAGGGUUUCGGCUCGUAAAACUCUGUUGUUAAAGAAGAACAUAUCUGAGAGUAACUGUUCAGGUAUUGACGGUAUUUAACCAGAAAGCCACGGCUAACUACGUGCCAGCAGCCGCGGUAAUACGUAGGUGGCAAGCGUUGUCCGGAUUUAUUGGGCGUAAAGCGAGCGCAGGCGGUUUUUUAAGUCUGAUGUGAAAGCCUUCGGCUCAACCGAAGAAGUGCAUCGGAAACUGGGAAACUUGAGUGCAGAAGAGGACAGUGGAACUCCAUGUGUAGCGGUGAAAUGCGUAGAUAUAUGGAAGAACACCAGUGGCGAAGGCGGCUGUCUGGUCUGUAACUGACGCUGAGGCUCGAAAGUAUGGGUAGCAAACAGGAUUAGAUACCCUGGUAGUCCAUACCGUAAACGAUGAAUGCUAAGUGUUGGAGGGUUUCCGCCCUUCAGUGCUGCAGCUAACGCAUUAAGCAUUCCGCCCGGGGAGUACGGCCCCAAGGCUGAAACUCAAAGGAAUUGACGGGGGCCCGCCCAAGCGGUGGAACCAGUGGGUUUAAUUCGAAGCUACCCGAAAAACCUUACCAGGCUUGGAAUACAAUGCAAAUCAAAAAAAUAAAACUUCCCUUCGGGACAUGGAUACGGGGGGGCCAG
rnacentral:rRNA from 2 species